rnacentral:rRNA from 1 species
GAGUUACACUCCCAACCCCUGUGACAUACCUUAAUGUUGCCUCGGCGGAUCAGCCCGCGCCCCGUAAAACGGGACGGCCCGCCAGAGGACCCAAACUCUAAUGUUUCUUAUUGUAACUUCUGAGUAAAACAAACAAAUAAAUCAAAACUUUCAACAACGGAUCUCUUGGUUCUGGCAUCGAUGAAGAACGCAGCAAAAUGCGAUAAGUAAUGUGAAUUGCAGAAUUCAGUGAAUCAUCGAAUCUUUGAACGCACAUUGCGCCCGCUGGUAUUCCGGCGGGCAUGCCUGUUCGAGCGUCAUUUCAACCCUCAAGCCCCCGGGUUUGGUGUUGGGGAUCGGCUCUGCCUUCUGGCGGCGCCGCCCCCGAAAUACAUUGGCGGUCUCGCUGCAGCCUCCAUUGCGUAGUAGCUAACACCUCGCAACUGGAACGCGGCGCGGCCAUGCCGUAAAACCCCAACUUCUGAAUGUUGACCUCGGAUCAGGUAGGAAUACCCGCUGAACUUAAGCAUAUCAAUAAGCGGAG